AAGAAACAUUCCAUGAUUAUUUUAUUUUCUCAGUAAACAAUCAAGUGAGUAUUGUUAUUGAAUUAUUAAUUACCAUUUAUCAAAUAUAACAAAGAAAACUAAAAACCUGGCAAUGUACUUCCACUUUCAAUUUCAUCAUUUUUUCUUUGGAUUCGCCUCCAUAAACCAAAUAUCACUUGUACUGCUCUUGUUGGUAAUGAAUCAUCUCUGCAAAAAAUCCUUUCACACGAUAAGCCUCGACAUAUUCAUUAAAAAGAGAGGCAUAAAUUUAAUCAAAAUACAUGCACUUUCCUCCACUCUUACCUUAUAAUUUCUGCAACCAUAGAAACGCCUACUAGAAUUUCUCCCAGACCAAGGAGUGCGAAGAUCUGCUUCUAUAUUGCAAUUACAUCUCGGAACAUGAAGGACGUAACAAUCUCGUGACAUCUUCGCCCUUUCCUGUUAGUAGAUACCUUCCUUCUUUUCCUCCUAGUUAACAGUGGUCUACAGAUUUUUCUCUCUCAUUUGUGCUAUUCUUUACUUCAUGGAUAAUAGUAAGAGUGGUUUCAAA
rnacentral:lncRNA from 1 species